ACGAACGCUGGCGGCGUGCUUAACACCUGCAAGUCGAACGGAAAGGCCCUGCUUUUGUGGGGUGCUCGAGUGGCGAACGGGUGAGUAACACGUGAGUAACCUGCCCUUGACUUUGGGAUAACUUCAGGAAACUGGGGCUAAUACCGGAUAGGAGCUCCUGCUGCAUGGUGGGGGUUGGAAAGUUUCGGCGGUUGGGGAUGGACUCUCGGCUUAUCAGCUUGUUGGUGGGGUAGUGGCUUACCAAGGCUUUGACGGGUAGCCGGCCUGAGAGGGUGACCGGCCACAUUGGGACUGAGAUACGGCCCAGACUCCUACGGGAGGCAGCAGUGGGGAAUAUUGCACAAUGGGCGGAAGCCUGAUGCAGCAACGCCGCGUGCGGGAUGACGGCCUUCGGGUUGUAAACCGCUUUCGCCUGUGACGAAGCGUGAGUGACGGUAAUGGGUAAAGAAGCACCGGCUAACUACGUG
rnacentral:rRNA from 1 species